CUCACGAUUGGAUUACGAUUCAGAGGCUACGAUUCGAUUAUAAAUCGAUUAUUGAUGCACCCCUCUGCUCCCAGCUAUUAGCAGCUUUUAAUGUUUUGUACAUUAGUAAUGUAGCUGCCAUUACGGCAGAAUAAAGAAAUAAAUAAUUUACUCUUUGAUCUGGGCGUGUAAUGUAAACCAUUUAGUUUUUUUUUGAUAUGGGGUGGGAACUUAAGUUCACUGUCGCAAGUUGACAGGGGCACUAUUAAGCGUUACAUCGGCUUAUUAUCUGAUGAACACUACUAGAGUACAGACAACUUUUCAGUACCUCCGAUUAAGAUCAACAAGGAAACAUCUCAAGUGCAUAGUGCAUUGAAGAAUUGAAGCUGAACUAAUUUCCUCUGGAGUAAAGCCAAUGAGUUUUCAGCGCUGCAGGCCGCACAGUAGAUCAGCGGAGAACGUCACUGAAACCUGCCAGUGGACGCAAUCUUAUUCCUGCACGACGACGACCAAAAAAUAUAAACACUAAAUAAAGAGCAGGACAUGAGGCCGCAAGGUACAGACUGCAGUCAAGGCCGACCCGCAGUUUAAAAGCUUUUAUUUCAUUUUUAUUUUUUUAUAAUUAAUUUUUGGUAUUGUUGUCAUUACAAUAAAGAAUGUUAUUUCAAAGCAUUUGUAGUUUUUUUUUUUUUUUUU